rnacentral:rRNA from 1 species
AUGGAGCCCACACCCUUGUCAGUGUGCAUCUCGCUGCUCUGUAUCGCGCUGCUGUGCCUCCUAUGGCACAAGUCAACGAAGCCCCCCGCCGGUGCGCCUGCACCGCCACGGCCGCCGGGCCCAACGCCGUUCCCAGUCAUAGGCAACAUCCCGGACCUGGUCCGCGGCGGCGAGCUACACCGCGCGCUCGCUCGCCUGUCGGUGUCCUACGGCCCCGUCAUGUCGAUGAGGCUCGGCAUGGCGAGCCUCGUCGUGCUGUCGUCCCCGGCUACGGCGCACGAGGCGCUCCACAAGAAGGAGGGUGCCGUCUCCUCCCGGUGGGUCCCCGACAGCGCCAGCGUCAUGGGCCACAGCGGCAUCUCCAUGGUGUGGCUCCCGAGCUCCAGCCCGCUGUGGAAGCACCUGCGCACCGUGGCGAGCACCCUGCUCUUCACGUCCCGGCGGCUCGGCGCCAGUCGCGCCAUCCAGGAGCGCAAGGCCCGGGAGCUCGUUGACCACUUACACGCGAGCUCCGGCCGCCCGGUGCGCGUCGCGCUCCCCGUGUUCAGCGCCGUGCUCAACAUGCUCUCCAGCGUUCUGUUCUCGGAGGACGUCGUCGAGCUGGGGUCGGUGACCGGGCAGGAGUUCAUGGAGCUCAUCGCAGACUCUGUUGCGGAGACGGCCAAGCCGAACAUCUCCGACUUCUUCCCAUUCCUCAGCUCGCUAGAUCUCAGCCGCCGCCGCCGCGCGGUCGCCGCGAAUCUCAGCAGAUUCUACCAGUUCUUCGACGCUGUCAUAGACCGUCGGUUGAACAGUGCCGAGAAGCCCGGCGACCUGCUGGAGUCGCUGCUCGAGCUCCCCGCCAAGUCCCAGCUCGAGCGGCCGGUGAUCCGAGCUCUCCUAACGGAUCUGUUCAUCGCUGGGAGCCACACGACGACGACCACGGUGGAGUGGGCGAUGGCGGAGCUGCUCCGCAACCCGACCAAAAUGGCGAAGGCGCGCGCCGAGCUAAGGGAAGCGUUCGGAUCCGGCAACGCAGAGGAAGGUGACCUCGCCAACCUCCCGUAUCUGCAGGCCGUGAUGAAGGAGACGAUGCGGCUGCAUCCCCCAGCGCCGCUGCUGCUGCCGCACGAGGUGUCGGAGACCGGCGUGACACUCGGCGGCUGCUCGGUGCCGAAGGGCGCCCGUGUUCUAAUCAACGUGUGGGCCAUCGGAAGGGACCCCGAGGUGUGGGCUGAGCCGGAGGUGUUCAUGCCGGAGAGGUUCUUGGACAGGGAGGUGGACUUCCGGGGGAGGGCGUUGGAGUUCAUACCGUUCGGAUCGGGGCGGAGGGCGUGCCCCGGGAUGCCGCUGGCCGUGACGGUCGUGCCGAUGGUGUUGGCAUCGCUGCUCCACGAGUUCGAAUGGAGGCUGCCGGAUGGGAUGGCGCCCGGUGAUGUGGAUCUCAGCGACCGGUUUGGCGCCGCGCUAGAGCUCGCCGUUCCUCUGAGGGCCGUGCCGGUUUGGACGAAAGGCGCGGAGGAUUUGAGUUUUUCUUCGUGA